AACGAACGCUGGCGGCAGGCUUAAUACAUGCAAGUCGAGCGGGCCCUUCGGGGUCAGCGGCGCACGGGUGCGUAACGCGUGGGAACAUGCCCUUAGGUACGGAACAACGUCGGGAAACUGACGCUAAUACCGUAUAAUAUCUCUGGAUCAAAGAUUUAUCGCCUAAGGAUUGGCCCGCGUUAGAUGAGGUAGUUGGUGGGGUAAUGGCCUACCAAGCCGACGAUCUAUAGGGGGUCGGAGAGGAUGAUCACCCACACUGGAACUGAGACACGGUCCAGACUCCUACGGGAUGCAGCAGGAAGGAAUAUUGGACAAUGGGCGAAAGCCUGAUCCAGCCAUGCCGCGUGAGUGAUGAAGGCCUUAGGGUUGUAAUGCUCUUUUAGAUGGGAAGAUAAUGACUUUACCAUCAGAAUAAGCCCCGGCUAAAUUCGUGCCAGCAGCCGCCGUAA
rnacentral:rRNA from 1 species